rnacentral:rRNA from 1 species
ACGGGCGGCAGCAGUGGGGAAUAUUGGACAAUGGGCGAAAGCCUGAUCCAGCCAUGCCGCGUGUGUGAAGAAGGCCUUCGGGUUGUAAAGCACUUUCAGUGGGGAAGAAAGCCUUGGGGCUAAUACCCUCGAGGAAGGACAUCACCCACAGAAGAAGCACCGGCUAACUCCGUGCCAGCGGCCGCGGUAAUACGGAGGGUGCGAGCGAUAAUCGGAAUUACUGGGCGUAAAGCGCGCGUAGGCGGUCUGAUAAGCCGGUUGUGAAAGCCCCGGGCUCAACCUGGGAACGGCAUCCGGAACUGUCAGGCUAGAGUGCAGGAGAGGAAGGUAGAAUUCCCGGUGUAGCGGUGAAAUGCGUAGAGAUCGGGAGGAAUACCAGUGGCGAAGGCGGCCUUCUGGACUGACACUGACGCUGAGGUGCGAAAGCGUGGGUAGCAAACAGGAUUAGAUACCCGGGUAGUC